GAAAAAGAGAAAAAUAGUAGAAAGUUUUUAAAAAAAUUUAAAAAUUUAUUUGAAUCUCAAGGAAUGUGUUGGGAUUCGAAAUUUAGCAUUUAAAAACUUGACACCAGAGUUGAGAUUGAGCUCGAACUUCGAGGUAUUCUAAAUUACAUUUAAGGUAAAAACAACGGCGCUAAAAGAAAAUAGGUUAUCGAGAUAUAACCGUCAUUUACGUUGGUGAUCUUUAACGUAUAUUUUGUCUAUAUUAAAAGUGUUUAGUAGUUGUUGUUGAAAGAUGAGUCUCUAUAUAUUUUGAUUUGAAAUGUCAUGUCAAAUGAUGAUUCAAUAUCUAGGUUAUGAAUAAAGUGAUGGUUCGAUAUCUACAUUAUGAAUAAAGUGAAUUCGAUUAUGUAUACUUAAAGUUUCGAUUCUACUUCCGUUGAUGUGAUGAUAUUACUAGUCUUACCUUAUUCUUUUAAGUUAAUAUGCUGAGAUGAUAGAUUGGGAUUCGAUUUAUAUUGCGUAUAUGUUGAGAGAAAAAAAUAUUUUUAAAAUCUCAAAUUAACGUACGCUUUAAAAAAAAUCAGAGCGUUAUAUUUGUAAUUUUUCAAUAAAUAUAUACUUACACAAAAAUAAUUAGAGAAUUUAAAAUCUCUAAAGAAGUAUCAUUUAGACUACAACAUUCAAUUACAUAUUAAUUUUAAAAUAUUUUAUUCUUGUUCACAUAUUCAUACAUAUAUACAUACAUAUGUGUGUAUAUAUAUAUAAAUUUUGAAAUUAAAAAAUAUUUAAACAAGUAUUUUGCAACGAUUUAAGAGGAAGGAGAGGCGAUAAAGACGGUUGCUGGAGAAGGCGACAUAGCGGCGGCAAGAAUAGAAGACUCAGAGAGAGAGACAAAGAGAGGUGGAGGCGGACGAUGGCUAGAACGGCGGAGGCGGAGGCUUUAACGGCUAUGUAUGAAGAAAGAGAGAGAGAGAGAGAGAAUGAGGCAAAAGUGAGGGAAGGAGAAAAAGAGAGGGAGGGGGGAAGGAUAAAGGGAGUAUGGGCAGACACUUAAUACAGAGUAUGGGAACAAGUCACCAACUUGUUCGUGUAGUAUUGUGCUUAAUAAACGAAGUAUCAAUACAUUAACACUUAUUAUAGAAUUUCAUCCCAAGCACAAGCGAUUCGGGAAACGUUUUAUUUAGGGGACAUUAUGGGUUGCCCACCUGAUCAGCCUGGUAAAGAUGACUGAAUGAUGGAUACCAUUGUCGUAAUCUCAUCAUUCAAAGGAUGAGACUUCACCCAUGGAGAAGAAAAGGCCAGUAGGGCCAUCAUCGGGCAGGAGGGCAAGCUUCACCGGACAUUCAGCACCUUCUUCUACACUCCGAUGGCCGGUAUUUUCGUUAAUGUCGGUUUUGACGUAACCGGGGCAGACGCAGUUGAUCCUAAAACCCGGGUUCUUCUUCGCGAGGAUUCUCGUGUAGGCGUUCAUGGCAGCUUUGGACAUUGUGUAGGCCGAGAAGAUGACAGGCCAGCCUCUGGUCUCCAGUGAUCCUGCUUUGAAAUCUUGCAGGAACUCAUCAUUUAUCAGCUCGUCUAUCCUCUCUUCUGUAAGGCUUUCCACAUCAUUCAACACCAUUCUAACCCACUCGCCUGGUAUGUUCUGAAACAAAGAUUUUUCGACCACAUUCUGAGGUGAUCAGUUACAAAUCUAAUACCCAAUGUCAAGCCAAAUCUGAGGGGGAGAAAUGAAAAUGGCAAUAGGAUUGUUCAAUCUUGUGAUUUUUACAGUUCAGAGGCUGCUUGGGUUAUGAAAAAGGUACCUGUAACCGCCCUGCUGCAGAAGAAAUAUUGACGAUCCUCGGCGAAACAGAUAGCUUCAGAAGGGGGAUAAAUGCUUCGAUCAUCCUCUUUGCACCGUAGUAGUUUGUUUGCAAGCAUUCUUCAG